rnacentral:rRNA from 1 species
UACGGGGGGGGCAAGCGUUGUUCGGAAUUACUGGGCGUAAAGGGCUCGUAGGCGGCCAACUAAGUCAGACGUGAAAUCCCUCGGCUUAACCGGGGAACUGCGUCUGAUACUGGAUGGCUUGAAUCCGGGAGAGGGAUGCGGAAUUCCAGGUGUAGCGGUGAAAUGCGUAGAUAUCAGGAAGAACACCCGUGGCGAAGGCGGCUCUCUGGGACGGUACUGACGCUGAGACGCGAAAGCGUGGGGAGCGAACAGG